AGUGCUUUGCUCCACCCAACUC
rnacentral:miRNA from 1 species